rnacentral:rRNA from 1 species
CUCGUGAGGAAAAGCAGGGGAUCGCAAGACCUUGCGCUUUUGGAGCGGCCGAUGUCUGAUUAGCUAGUUGGUGAGGUAAAGGCUUACCAAGGCUUCGAUCAGUAGCUGGUCUGAGAGGACGACCAGCCACACUGGGACUGAGACACGGCCCAGACUCCUACGGGAGGCAGCAGUGGGGAAUUUUGGACAAUGGGGGAAACCCUGAUCCAGCCAUGCCGCGUGAGUGAAGAAGGCCUUCGGGUUGUAAAGCUCUUUCAGCCGGAACGAAAAGGUUACGGUUAAUACCCGUGACUAAUGACGGUACCGGAAGAAGAAGCACCGGCUAACUACGUGCCAGCAGCCGCGGUAAUACGUAGGGUGCGAGCGUUAAUCGGAAUUACUGGGCGUAAAGCGGCGCAGGCGGUUUUGUAAGUCAGAUGGAAGCCCCCUAAGACCAUGAGCUUGUG